GGGGGCGAUCCGGUUUCGACGGGAGGACAUGACGACUGAGCUGCGCGUCGGGGACGCCACUUGGCCCCGUUAAUAAUGUGGCAAAACACACCAGCCGACACUGAGCUGGCUCUCGCUGCUUAACAGCUAGCGAGCGUCCCGCUUCUCCUCGUCCGCGGGAGGGGGCCGGGACGCCAUGAAGCGGACUAGCUGACGGCUUCUUCGGUCCGUAGGAGACGCCAGCGAAAUUUAACCGGACUAGCCCGGAAGAGAGCCCGCCGGCGGGCGCGAGCCCGGGCGAACCUCAAACCGCCGGACACACGCGUAGACGCUCAGAACGGAAGCCUUUCGGACGCGGGUUCGAUUCCCGCCGCCUCCACCA
rnacentral:tmRNA from 1 species